UACGGGGGGGGCAAGCGUUGUUCGGAAUUACUGGGCGUAAAGGGCUCGUAGGUGGCCAACUAAGUCGGACGUGAAAUCCCUCAGCUUAACUGGGGAACUGCGUCCGAUACUGGAUGGCUUGAAUUCGGGAGAGGGAUGCAGAAUUCCAGGUGUAGCGGUGAAAUGCGUAGAUAUCUGGAGGAAUACCGGUGGCGAAGGCGGCAUCCUGGACCGACAUUGACGCUGAGGAGCGAAAGCUAGGGGAGCAAACGGG
rnacentral:rRNA from 1 species